rnacentral:rRNA from 1 species
GAUGAACGCUAGCGAUAGGCUUAACACAUGCAAGUCGAGGGGCAGCAUGAUCUUAGCUUGCUAAGGUCGAUGGCGACCGGCGCACGGGUGCGUAACGCGUAUGCAACUUGCCUUACAGAGGGGGAUAACCCGUUGAAAGACGGACUAAAACCGCAUACACUUGUAUUAUUGCAUGAUAUUACAAGGAAAUAUUUAUAGCUGUAAGAUAGGCAUGCGUCCCAUUAGCUUGUUGGUGAGGUAACGGCUCACCAAGGCGACGAUGGGUAGGGGAACUGAGAGGUUUAUCCCCCACACUGGUACUGAGACACGGACCAGACUCCUACGGGAGGCAGCAGUGAGGAAUAUUGGUCAAUGGGCGAUAGCCUGAACCAGCCAAGUCGCGUGAAGUAAGACAGUCAUAAGAAUGGUUAACUUCUUUUAUACGUGCAAACGGGCGAUAUGUGUAUAUGACAUUGCCAUCUACCGGAAGA